rnacentral:tRNA from 6 species
GGGCCUAUAGCUCAGCGGUAGAGCCCCCGGCUCAUAACCGGUUGGUCCCUGGUUCGAAUCCAGGUGGGCCCACCA